rnacentral:rRNA from 1 species
AGCGAACGCUGGCGGCAGGCCUAACACAUGCAAGUCGAACGAACCUUUCGGGGUUAGUGGCGGACGGGUGAGUACACGUGGGAACGUGCCUUUAGGUUCGGAAUAACUCAGGGAAACUUGUGCUAAUACCGAAUGUGCCCUUCGGGGGAAAGAUUAAUCGCCUUUAGAGCGGCCCGCGUCUGAUUAGCUAGUUGGUUGAGGUAAUGGCUCACUAAGGCGACGAUCAGUAGCUGGUCUGAGAGGAUGAUCAGCCACAUUGGGACUGAGACACGGCCCAAACUCCUACGGGAGGCAGCAGUGGGGAAUCUUGCGCAAUGGGCGAAAGCCUGACGCAGCCAUGCCGCGUGAAUGAUGAAGGUCUUAGGAUUGUAAAAUUCUUUCACCGGGGACGAUAAUGACGGUACCCGGAGAAGAAGCCCCGGCUAACUUCGUG